rnacentral:rRNA from 1 species
UGCCUAAUGCAUGCAAGUCGAACGCAGCAGGCGUGCCUGGCUGCGUGGCGAACGGCUGAGGAACACGUGGGUGACCUGCCCCGGAGUGGGGGAUACCCCGUCGAAAGACGGGACAAUCCCGCAUACGCUCGACGGAGGAAAGCCGCAAGGCGCUCUGGGAGGGGCCUGCGGCCCAUCAGGUAGUUGGUGUGGUAACGGCGCACCAAGCCAAUGACGGGUACCCGGUCUGAGAGGACGACCGGGCAGACUGGGACUGAGACACGGCCCAGACUCCUACGGGAGGCAGCAGCAAGGAAUUUUCCCCAAUGGGCGCAAGCCUGAGGGAGCAACGCCGCGUGGAGGACGACGGCCUUCGGGUUGUAAACUCCUUUCGGGUGGGACGAUGCUGACGGUACCACCAGAAGCAGCCCCGGCUAACUCUGUGCCAGCAGCCGCGGUAAGACAGAGGGGGCAAGCGUUGUCCGGAGUUACUGGGCGUAAAGGGCGCGCAGGCGGAGGGCUGCGUCGGCGCUGAAAGCGCCCCGCUUAACGGGGCGAGGCGCGCCGAUACGAGUCCACUCGAGGCAAGCAGAGGGUGGCGGAAUUCCGGGUGGAGCGGUGAAAUGCGUAGAGAUCCGGAGGAACGCCGGUGGGGAAGCCGGCCACCUGGGCUUGACCUGACGCUGCGGCGCGACAGCGUGGGGAGCAAACCGGAUUAGAUACCCGGGUAGUCCAC